GAAAUAGCUACUUCUAAUUUAUUUGGCUACUUUUCCAUGUCCUGUGGCUCCUGCACCACAUCACCCUUCUUCAGGAGGGGCGAACCCAGACACCCGUAUCCUCCACUUCCACGCAUGAGGACACGUGGGAAGCAAGGUUUUCAGGACGGCCCCAGCUCCAGACUGGAGGAUUGACUCUUGGGGUUUGAGCUAGUAUCUCCCGACUCCCUGCGGCGCACGCUACCGACGGG
rnacentral:lncRNA from 1 species